rnacentral:lncRNA from 1 species
CAUUGCCCCAUCUGUAAAUGGACUUUCCCUGGGUUAACUCUGUGGUCUCUAGAACUCUGAGUGCGUGUGGUCUGUGGCCAAGUGCAAGGAAGGGGUGCUAAACACCAUGUGACAUGGUAGAUCUGCACACUUAUCCAUUCAAAACUCUUGAGAAAUGACAUGCUAGAGGGCUGGCAUGGACUUCGGAAAGGUGAACAGUGUUUUUCCGAGUUUAUCAGAUGCUGGGCAAUUAACGAGUGUUCCAGAUGUCAGCUGAAGGCCUGAUGAUCUAGAUUAGAUGUCUUGAAUCCCCAUUCUGAAGCCUCCUCCGUGUCUUCAAGGAAUUCCACAGCCCCCGAGGGACCCCAUCACUCCAGGGAUUGUACCAACACACUCUCCUGUCAACUUGCAGAGGGGUUCCCUUUUUCCAGCUGCUUAUCAGACUUGCAAGAUUUUGCCCAUCUGAUCAGCGUGAGAACAAGUCUCCGCUGUUGCCAUGUGUUUCCCUGAUCACCAGCGACG